CAGAUGAAUCCGCGUCCCAUUAGCCAGUUGGUGGGGUAAUGGCCUACCAAAGCGACGAUGGGUAGCCGGCCUGAGAGGGUGACCGGCCACACUGGAACUGAGAUACGGUCCAGACUCCUACGGGAGGCAGCAGUGAGGAAUAUUGGUCAAUGGGCGCAAGCCUGAACCAGCCAUCCCGCGUGCAGGAUGACGGCCCUAUGGGUUGUAAACUGCUUUUAUACACCAAGAAAAACAUCCACGUGUGGGUGCCCGACGGUAGUGUAUGAAUAAGCAUCGGCUAACUCCGUGCCAGCAGCCGCGGUAAUACGGAGGAUGCAAGCGUUAUCCGGAUUCAUUGGGUUUAAAGGGUGCGUAGGCGGAUUGAUAAGUCAGUGGUGAAAGCCUGCAGCUUAACUGCAGAACUGCCAUUGAUACUGCCAGUCUGGAGUAUGGUUGAGGUAGCUGGAAUGUGUCAUGUAGCGGUGAAAUGCUUAGAGAUGACACAGAACACCGACGGCGAAGGCAGGUUACCAACCCAUUACUGACGCUGAGGCACGAAAGCGUGGGGAUCAAACAGGAUUAGAUACCCUGGUAGUCCACGCCGUAAACGAUGAUCACUCGCUGUUUGCGAUAUACAGCAAGCGGCUGAGCGAAAGCAUUAAGUGAUCCACCUGGGGAGUACGAUCGCAAGGUUGAAACUCAAAGGAAUUGACGGGGGCCCGCACAAGCGGAGGAACAUGUGGUUUAAUUCGAUGAUACGCGAGGAACCUUACCUGGGCUUAAAUGUAGGCUGCAUUCGGCUGAAAGGCUGAUUCCCUUCGGGGCUGCUUACAAGGUGCUGCAUGGUUGUCGUCAGCUCGUGCCGUGAGGUGUCGGGUUAAGUCCCGCAACGAGCGCAACCCUUGUCUUUAGUUGCCAGCGGAUCAUGCCGGGGACUCUAGCGAGACUGCCACCGUAAGGUGUGAGGAAGGUGGGGAUGACGUCUGGUCCGCACGGCCCUUAUGUCCAGGGCUACAAACGUGUUACAAUGGCCGAUACAAAGGGCAGCUACCAGGUGACUGGAUGCUAAUCUCCAAAGUCGGUCUCAGUUCGGAUCGAAGUCUGCAACCCGACUUCGUGAAGCUGGAUUCGCUAGUAAUCGCAUAUCAGCCAUGAUGCGGUGAAUACGUUCCCGGGCCU
rnacentral:rRNA from 1 species